rnacentral:rRNA from 1 species
AACGAACGCUGGCGGCAUGCCUAACACAUGCAAGUCGAACGAGACCUUCGGGUCUAGUGGCGCACGGGUGCGUAACGCGUGGGAACCUUCCCUUAGGUUCGGAAUAACUCUCCGAAAGGGGUGCCAAUACCGGAUAAUGUCUUCGGACCAAAGACUUAUCGCCCCUGGAUGGGCUCGAGUUGGAUUAGGUAGUUCGUAAGGUUACAGCUUACCAAGGCGACGAUCCGUAGCUGGUUUGAGAGGGGGAUUAGCCACACGGGAACUGAGACACGGCCCAGACGACGACGGGAGGCAGCAGUAGGGAAUAUGCCGCAAUGGGCGAAAGCCUGACGGAGCAACGCCGCGUGAGUGAUGAAGGGUUUCGGAGCGUAAAACUCUGUGAUGAGGGAAGAACAAAUGUGUAAGUAACUGUGCACGUCGUGACGGUACCUAAUCAGAAAGCCACGGCUAACUACGUG